GGCUGCUGCGUGUCUGGUAGAAGGACUGCCCCUCUCUGUCGUCAUGUCCACAUCCCAUCAACCCCGGGUAGGCACUGCCUACCAGGAUGCCCAAAAGCCCCCUGAAGGGGAGAGUAAGGGGCCUGGAUAUGCAGAUAUUCCUGAGGAGAAAGGAAAGCUCCCUUUACCUGAACUUGGAUGAAGCAAGUUAUUGCUAGUCUGAAGUUUCUUCAGAGUCAGGCAGGAAUAAUAAUAAUUAAAAGACCCAAUCUGAUCCCCAAGUCUUCCAACCACCACCACCACCACUCCACUUAAAUAUUAUUUAAAUAUUAAAUAAUUACGUGUACACACAGGUCAGGCUGUACUAAACUCUUCUAUACAUCUUGAUGUCACGGCUUCUCAGCGGAGAAGGAUGUUAAGCAAGGUUAAUGACACCCGGUGCCAGGCACUGAUGACAUGCAGCUGACAAGGCGAGAUGCCCUCACGUUGCCCACAGUGCAGGGGACUGGUGGGGACAGAAAGAUGUAGGUACCAGAUCCCAUUCAAAGGACCGAUUGAAUGGGAGUCUGCCUGGGUGGCCUCCCAAGGCUUCUUCCAUUCUAUCAUCGGGUAAUUAUUAUUAUUAUUUGUCAAAAACUACCCUGCUUUGUCACAAUUCUCAUUUCAGUUUAGCCAUAAACAUUCAACCUGGAUAGUUCGAUGCGGGAGUUUUCCUCUAUUUCCUGAGGGGUAAUAUUCGGUGUUAAUUACAGUUUCAAAGACCCAGAGUAAAUGAUGCGGGAAGGAGCCUCUGAGAGACCCUUCUCCCCACCUCUGUUGGUAGAUUCUGGCGGGAGCGCGCAGGGCCGGUUCCAUCGGCGGCGGUGCGGCCACAGGGUCCGGCCCUAAUCACGCCCUUGCCAACAGGAUGGCCUCCUUCAGUGCAAUUUCCACUCCAGUGCUGUAUCCAUUUUCUUUCUCCUCUUCAGAGAAACAGCCGGCCCUUCCUACUUCCCCGCCUCCUCCCCAGGCCCCUUCAAUAAUUGAGGCUAAGCUGGAGCCCGGCACCCUUGGGCAGCCCUUGAUUAAGACGCCAUCGAGUGGCCGCCUUCCAUGUCCGCGUCCUGGUCUCCGAGGCUGGUUAAGAUGGAGCCCAACGGCUCUCCUGGAGAAGAGUGACCCACCAUCCCGACCGUGAGAGAGAGGAAUUUUCGCGAAGCGGAAGGCACAUGCUUCUGAGGAGAGGAUCUGGCGUUCCAAAAGACUUACACCUUAAGCAGAACAUUCUAACUGGGUGACUGUGGACCCGACUAAGUCAAUAACUCAACAGACCGCAUCUUAAGAAAAGGCAGAGAACUUCCUUAAAACAUGGCUUUUCUACAUUCUUUUCAUUCUAGAGACUCAGAGAAGGAAACUGCGUUUCAGAAGCAUUAACUGGAUGGAAAUGGCACAGAUGGAGUUGGGAGCCAGUGCGACUCCAGAGCUGAGCUCCUGUGAGUGUCUGUGAAGCAGGUCACUGAUGUUCCCAGUGAUGGGGACAUACUGAAGCUCACCACAAGCUUAUUGUUGUGAUAAGUCCUUCUGCCACAUGGCAUCCGGAGCUGAGCACCUGGCAGCGCUUCUGUGGGGGGAGAAGAAUUAGCAAGAGGAGGCUGUGGAUCUUCAGGUUUGGAAUCCGAUCCGAGAUGAAAACAAGGAGCAUCAAAAAUGCCCUGGUGUAUCGCUGACUUUAAAAGAAUGUGCAUUCUUCCCCAUUCCUUCUACGACAUCACGGUAAUGGGUCCAACAUGAUGGCAGAAGUCCAUCCAUAGCCAAGAUAUGGAAACAACCUAAGUGCCCAUGGACAGAGGAGUGGAUAAAGAAGAUGUGGUAUGUAUACACAAUGGAAUAUUACUCAGCCAUUCAAAGGCAAGAAAUAAUGGCAUUUGCAGCAACAUGGACGGAGGGAUCCAUUUAUUUGUCGAUGGACUCUUGGGUUGCUUCUACCUUUUGUCUCUUGGGAAUAAUGCUGCUGUGAAUACGGGAGUACAAAUAUAUCUUCCAGACUCUGCUUUCAGUUCUUGUGGAUAAAUACCCAGAAGUGGAACUGCUGGAUCAAAUGGUAAUUCUAUGUUUAAUUUUUUGAGAAACUGCCAUACUGUUUUUCAUUGUGGCUGUACUGCUACAUUCUCACCAAUUGUGCACAAAGGUUCCAAUUUAUCCACUCCUCACCAAAACUUGUUAUUUUCUUUCUUUAAAAAUAUGUUUUACAGUAGCCAUCAUUUGGGUAUGGGUGGUAUCUUCUUGCAGUUGUUUUUUGUUUUUUUUGUUUUAUGUUUUUUUUUUUUGCUUUUUAGGGCCACACUUGUGGCAUAUGGAGCGUCCCAGGCUAGGGGUCCGGUCAGAGCUAAAGCUGCUGGUCUACACCACAGCCACAGCAACGCAGGAUCUGAGCCGCAUCUGUGACCUACAUCGCAGCUCAUGGUAAUGCCAGAUCCUUAACCCACUGAGCAAGGCCAGGGAUCGAAUUUGCAACUUCAUGGUUCCUAGUCGGAUUCGUUUCCACUGCACCAUGAAGGGCACUCCUCUUGCAGUUUUGAUUUGCAUUCCCUAAUGAUUAGUGAUGUGGAGAAUCUUUUCAUGUGCUUAUUGACCAUUUGUAUAUUUGGUCUAUUUGAAAAUAUCUAUUCAAGUUCUUUGCCCAUUUCCUUCCUUCCUUCCUUCCCUUCUUCCUUCCUUCCCUUCUUUCUUCCUUCCUUCCUUCCCUUCUUUCUUUCUUCCUUUCUUUCUUUCUUUCUUUCUUUCUUUCUUUCUUUCUUUCUUUCUUUCUUUCUUUCUUUCUUUCUUUCUUUCUUUCUUUCUUCCCUUCUUUCUUUCCUUCUUUCUUUCUUUCUUUCUUUCUUUCUUUCUUUCUUUCUUUCUUUCUUUCUUUCUUUCUUUCUUUCCUUCUCUCUCUCUCUUUCUUUCUCUCUCUCUCUCUCUUUCUUUCUUUUGUCUUUUUAGAGCUGCACCUGCACCACAUGGAAGUUCCCAGGCUACAGGUUGUAUCGGGGCUGUACCUGCCUGCCUACGCCACAGCUCACGACAAUGCUGGAUCCUUAACCCACUGAGUGAGGCCAGGGAUGGAACCCACAUCCUCACGGAUACUAGGCAGGUUCGUUACUGCUGAGCCACAACGGGAACUCCCUCUUUGCCCAUUUUUCAUAAGAUUUUUGUUUUGUUCAGUUGUAGGAGUUCUCCAUAUAUUCUGGAUAUUAAUCAGAUGGAAGAUUUACUUUUUUCUAUUCUGUGGGUUGCCUUUUCAUUCUCUUGAUUGUACCCUUUAAUGCACAGAAAUUUUAAAUCUUGAAAUAGCCCAAUUUGUCUAUUUUUCUUCUGUUGCCUGUGUUUUUGGUGUCAUAGCUAAGAAAUCAUUGCCAAAUCCAAUGUCCUGAACCUCUUCCUCAGUGUUUUCUUCUAAGAAUUUUACGUUUUAGCUCUUAUUGUUUAGGUCUUUGAUCAAUUUUGAGUUAAUGUUUCAAUAUGUGGCUUAGUAAGAGUCUAAAUUCCUUUUUCCCCCCCUUUGGCCACACCUGUGGCAGAUGGAAGUUCCCAGGCCUGGGAUCAGCUCCUUGGUGGAGCUGCCAUUGCCAUCUGGCCUUCGGGGAAGCCUCUAUGUUCCUGCUCCAUUGGUAAGGGAAAAAGGACCAUGGCUAAUUUAAAAUCCAGCUCUGGUUGGCCUCAAGCUUUUCUUUUUAAAAUUUUUUUAUUUUUAAUUUUUUGGGUCUUUUGUCUUUUUAGGGUUAAUACACUGAUAUAAAUUGCAAACGUAGUUAAUUUUUUAACGUUUGAAAAAAAAAAGAAAAUACCAUACAGAUGAUACACGUAACUCAACUUAGUAUGGCAAAAGACUUUCUGAUUAUAAGUACGACGAAAUAUAUUAAAAGAGAAAUGAUAGAUUUGAUUUUAUAAAUUGUGCGCAAAAACCCUUUAAAAGGAAACAAUAAGUUUAUCAUGGAAUGUUCAUCUUUUUUAAAUUUCUUUUUUCAAAUGAUUUUAAUUUUUUCUAUUAAAGUUGGUUUACAGUGGUCUG
rnacentral:lncRNA from 9 species